AUUGAACGUUGGCGGCAGGCCUAAUACAUGCAAGUCGAACGGCAGCACAGAGAGCUUGCUCUUGGGUGGCGAGUGGCGGACGGGUGAGUAACGCGUAGGAAUCUACCCAGUAGCGGGGGAUAGCCCGGGGAAACUCGGAUUAAUACCGCAUACGCCCCACGGGGAAAGGCCGGGAUCUUCGGACCGGUCACUAUUGGAGGAGCCUGCGUUGGAUUAGCUUGUUGGUGGGGUAAAGGCCUACCAAGGCUACGAUCCAUAGCUGGUCUGAGAGGACGAUCAGCCACACUGGAACUGAGACACGGUCCAGACUCCUACGGGAGGCAGCAGUAGGGAAUAUUGUGCAAUGGGCGAAAGCCUGACACAGCCAUGCCGCGUGUGUGAAGAAGGCCCUAGGGUUGUAAAGCACUUUCAGUAGGGAGGAAUUAGUAGGGUUAAGUAACCUUAAUGAAUAGACGUUACCUUACAGAAGAAGUAACCGGCUAACUCCGUGCCAGCAGCCGCGGUAAUGUCA
rnacentral:rRNA from 1 species